rnacentral:pre_miRNA from 7 species
UCUCUGGGAAUUGGGGUGGCCGCAAAAUCCCGGAUGAGCCCCCAACUGAAAGACCCCGUUUCCGGGGAGACCCUCGCUCAAGUCCCAGGAUGAGCUGAUGCCCCAAUAACUGGAGAGAAA